rnacentral:rRNA from 1 species
UACGUAGGGACCAAGCGUUGUCCGGAAUCAUUGGGCGUAAAGAGCGUGUAGGCGGCUUGUUAAGUCUUGCGUGAAAUCUCGGGGCUCAACCCCGAGCGGUCGUGAGAAACUGGCAGGCUAGAGUGCGGGAGAGGAGAGUGGAAUUCCUGGUGUAGCGGUGAAAUGCGCAGAUAUCAGGAAGAACACCCGUGGCGAAAGCGGCUCUCUAGAACGGUACUGACGCUGAGACGCGAAAGCGUGGGGAGCGAACAGG